rnacentral:lncRNA from 10 species
ACGGGUUUGCAUAAGAACCACCUGGGAGGCUUGAUAAAAUGCAGAGUACUGGGCCCUGUCCUCAGAGUUUCCGAUUCAGGGAGUAUCCAGUGGGCCUUCAAAUUUACAUUUCCAACAAGGUCUCAGGCAAGACCACAAGGAUGUAUGUAUGGCUUCUUAGUAGUGUUUUCAGCCAGGUGUUUGAAAACCUCUUGAUGCAGGUAAGACCAAGAAAGCAGCAAGCAUCAAAGCAUCAGCAUUCAAUGAAACAUGUAUGAAAUUUUUUGAUGAUAUCUACCCAA